ensembl:misc_RNA 7SK 7SK RNA
GGAUGUGAGGACAAUCUGCCUGUGACAUCUGUCACCCCAUUGAUUUCCAGGGUUGAUUCAGCUGAUCUGGAUGGCUAGAUGAUUGUCCCUUUCCUCCUUCAACAUUCCAUAUGCUUUUCUCAUGAAGCUGGGUCCUCAGCCAAAAAGGACAUCCACCCCUGAUAGAGGGGAACUAUUUGUUCAGUAAAGGGUAUACAAGUUGCUGCACGGCCCUCCUAGAAUCUUCAAACAAGCUCUCAGAAUUGCCUGAGGUCUAAUGAGAAAACCGUCUGCUAAGAAAGAAAAAGAAUUGAUAAUCUGGCUGCUAU